CAGAGAGUAUUUUAUUAAAAAUACUAAUUUUGGGAAUUGGUGAAAUGGCUUAUGCUUUCUCUCUGA
rnacentral:tRNA from 1 species